GAGGCAGGAGAAUCGCUUGAACCUGGAAGGUAGAGGUUGCAGUGAGCUGAGAUCGCACCAUUACACUCUAGCCUGGGUAACAGAGCGAGACUCCAUCUCAAAAACAAAACAAAACAAAACUCAGGCAAGAAUUGCUCUGUGCUCUUGAUGUGGCACCCACACAUUCCCUUCAUAACCUGGAAUCCCUACUGUAGUGUUUCCUCUUACCUGGAGCAGCUAAAAGAUGAGGGAGAGUCAGAAGUGGUAUGUGUUAGUCUGUUCUCAUGCUGUUAAUAAAGACAUACCUGUGACUGGGUAAUUUAUUAAAGGAAAGAGGUUUAAUGGACUCACAGUUCCACAUGGCUGGGGAGGCCUCACAAUCAUGGCAGGAGGCAAAGGAGGAACAAAGGCAUGUCUUACAUGACAGGAAGCAAGAGAGCCUGUGCAGGGAAACUACCCUUUAUAAAACUGUCAGAUCUGGUGAGACUUACUUUCACGAGAACAACAUGGGAAAAACCUACCUCCAUGAUUCAGUUACCUCCCACUGGGUCCCACCCACCACACAUGGGGAUUAUGGGGAGCCACAAUUCAAGAUGAGAUUUGCGUGGGGACACAGCCAAACCAUAUCAUGGUAGAAUUUUACAAUUGGAAUUAGAAAAACAAACAUUUCAGCUCUAACAUGUAAAGAGCUUGAAAGUCAUCAGUCACAUCUAAAAAGAAAAAGCCUAACCAAAAUGAAAGUCCGUGGCUUUAGAACCAUCAGAGAAUUGAGGCCAUGGGACAAGCAUGCAAGUACAGUGAGUCACAGCCAGAUCAGUUUACCUGGAGCAGAAAUGGCUGAGGCUAAGUGUGGGUCAGUGUGCAAGUGAGAAACUCCUUGGGACCCAGUCCUAGAGGAACCUCUCACUUUCAUGGGGUUUGCCUCCAAGAACCUCAUCAGCUUCCCACAGUAAAAAUCCAAGAAGAAAAAUAAAUCCCUCAUGUUUUACAGCAGUGAGAAGGGAAAAGUAACCAAUCUGAAAGAGAUCCAGAGCAUUCUAUUCUCCAUAACAAAAGAAAUCGUUAACUCCAAGGGAGGUGGUGCCAGAGCCUUUUGUGUUCAAGGGGAAGGUAGUUAGCCAACCACAACCCCCUUUAGCCUUCCCAUUUCACCUAAGGGGAGGGCAAAAAAAACAAAAACUUAGAAACACUUCACAGCACAAACACAGAACCACUAAAAGACUUGAGAUUUAGUCAUAAGUUUGCUUUCCCUACCCCACACCCCACUACCAGGUUGUAAUGGUCUAAAUGUUUGUAUCCCUCCAAAAUUUACAUGUUGAAACCUAACCCCCUAUCCCCAAGGUAUUAAGAGGUGGGGCCUUUGGUGGGUGAUUAGGUCCUGAGUGUUCUGCCCUGAUGAAUGGAAUUAGUUCCCCCAAUAAAAGAGCUUGAGGAACCUAUUUGCCCCUUCCUUUUUCCUCCAUGUGAGGACACAGCAACAUGAUGCCAUCUAUGAGGAACGGACUCGAACCAGACACUGAAUCUGCCAGUACCUUGAUGUUGGAUUUCUCAGCCUGAAAACUGAAAACAUAUUUGCUGAUCACCCCUGAAUUAUGAUGGUGAAUAGGUGAAGUGAACUGCAGUGUGACCAUAUCACAAAUCUACCGAGAAGAAUGCUUUCAUGUUCACCAAAUAGACCGUAUUAGCCUUAUUUCCACAAAGAGAUGGGGUCUGACUUUAUCAGCCAGGCUGGAAUGCAGUGGCACAAUCGUAGCUCACUAC